rnacentral:tRNA from 3 species
GCCGAGAUGGCGGAAUAGGUAGACGCACGGGACUCAAAAUCCCGCGCUGGAAACAGCGUGCCGGUUCGAUUCCGGCUCUCGGCACCA